GAUGAAGAACGUAGCGAAAUGCGAUAAGUAAUGUGAAUUGCAGAAUUCAGUGAAUCAUCGAAUCUUUGAACGCACAUUGCGCCCAUUAGUAUUCUGGUGGGCAUGCCUGUUCGAGCGUCAUUUCAACCCUUAAGCCCUCGUUGCUUAGCGUUGGGAGCCUACAAAAGAAACAAAACCCUCUGUAGCUCCCCAAAGAUAGUGGCGGAGUCGGUCUCACACCCCAGACGUAGUAAGAAUUAAUCUCGUCUGCGGUUGGGCCGGUCCCCUGCCGUAAAGCUUUUUAGUCUUAAAAAAAAGGUUGACCUCGGAUCAGGUAGGAAUACCCGCUGAACUUAAGCAUAUCAAUAAGCGGAGGA
rnacentral:misc_RNA from 1 species